rnacentral:lncRNA from 1 species
AAUGGAUUCAAACUUGAAGCAGGCAGCUUAGCUUUCACUGUGUUAUGCAACAAAUGAUUUUGCUUCAUAUAUAUUUUUGUUCAUUUAUUUAACAGCUUUUGUUUUGCAAAGUUCUAUUGAGCAGCUGCAAUUUCUAGUUUAUCAUGCUUUUAAUUCACUAAAAGGAAAAUUGGACACUUUUUAAAUUAAAUUAUUCAAUGGGUUCAAUAAAAUUUAAGCCAGUAGAGUUAUCUCCACAGGUGGCACUGCUGUAUUACAGGGUAAACAAUGCUACCAGUCAGCUGACCACUGUUUACUAAGUAAAUUCAGAGAAUUAUAAUAUGUGUUUUAACCUGUUAUUGAACUGGUUUAUUGGUGUUGCACACAUUUAUGUUAAGGAGUAUAUAAACAGCAUGCACGAAUGAAUGAAUGGAGAUAAUUCAGUUUAGUGACCCAAUGUAUUGUGUUCAAAGGAGACGCCAUCCAACAAUUCAAAGACAUGUUAAUGCAGUGAGGCAACUGAUGGCAAAUGAUGGCUUUGUGGCAGUUAAUGAAAACUACAUGGUAUUUUAAACUGAUGGUGGCCAACAGUGACAGAAAAUUUCUCAACCAAUAGUUACAUUCAGUUGAAAAUGAUGGCAUAUCUUAUACCGACUAUACUGCAUUAUGACAAACAGUGGAAAACAUUGAUAUACUACAAUGACAGUGGAAUUGAAUAGAAACUGGUGACAUUUAAGCUCCAUAUUGCUUGUACUAUUUUCUGUCACCUAGUGAAGAAAUGUCUAAAUUCAUAAGCAGUUUUGUUAUACUACUGACUAUUAUGAAAUUAUAAAUUAAGAUGUGACAUGCAUAAUGGUUUCUGAUUUUCAUUUCAGUCCAGUUCUGUCACCAACAAGUUUCCAUGGUAUUUCCGUGGAUUUCCACAGUUAUUUGCCAUGGCAUGCCGUCCGAAUACUCCACG